rnacentral:rRNA from 1 species
AUUGAACGCUGGCGGCAGGCCUAACACAUGCAAGUCGAGCGAGCGGCGGACGGGUGAGUAUUGUAUGGGGACUGCUCGAUAGAGGGGGAUAACUACUGGAAACGGUGGCUAAUACCGCAUACUGUCGGAUAACCCAUAUGGGAUUAGCUAGUAGGUAAGGUAAUGGCUUACCUAGGCGACGAUCCCUAGCUGGUCUGAGAGGAUGAUCAGCAAAACUGGAACGGAGACACGGCCCGAACCCCUACGGAGGAAGAAGGGGGGAAUAUUGGCCAAGGGGCGCAGUCCUAAUGCAGCCAUGCGGCGUGUAUGAGACGGGCCCUAGGGUUGAAAGGUACUUUCAGCCGGAAGGCGUUACCGGAAGAAGAAGCACCGGCUAACUCCGUGCCAGCAGCCGCGGUAAUAC